CCUGGACGCCCGCCAUUUUGGAACUGGCGCCAUCUUGGCCUCUGUCCGUGGAUUUUUGUGUGCAGAUUUUCGUGAGACUCCUUACUCAUGGAAUAAGGACCCUUUCCCACAAGAAGUCAUGAUUGUGUAUGUGGAGCAUCCAGCAGAUUCUACAAAAAUGUCUAGAACUUAUAAAUGAGUUUAUCAAGCUUGCAAGAUGAAAAUAGAUACACAAAACAAGUUGUAUUUCUAUA